rnacentral:tRNA from 1 species
GGCGUGGUAGUUUAACGGCAAGAACAAGCGCGGGUGCGCGCAGGUGUCUGGGUUCAAUUCCCAGCCACGCCA